rnacentral:lncRNA from 1 species
UUAAAGUACUCAUCAGUCAUCCAAAAUUUGUUCUUGAGGACAGAACACAUAUGAAUUAAUCCGGCGCCUAAUUACUCCGGACAAUGCUUGGUAUUAUUGCAAGUAAUUUAACAAGGAGUGAAUAUCAAAACUAUUAAACCAGUAAUGGAAUUGUCAUAUUUAUACUAACAUUCAAAGUUGGUAUUGUAAGCUGAUGUUAUUAGGGGAAAAAAAUUAGAGAAUUCGUAUUCAUCAACCUCUGAUUUCCAAUUAAAUAUGUUGUGUAAAUUAUAGGCUCAUUACAUAGUAGCUGCCUACAAAUAUGAAGGUGAAAAUGAACUGUACAAGUAUUUGUAGGCUAUUUGAGGAAAAAGGAGGUAAUGUCACGCUUUUUGAAUUCAUUCCAGAAGUUUCCUUAUUCACAAAAUGGAAGAAUAAUACAUAAACAAUAUUUGGGAAUUGUUGAUAUGGGGGAUAUUUACGUGUCAUUGGAUAUAACGAGAGCUAAUAUUAUUUUGCUGAAAUUUGGGCAAUCAAUUUUAAACUUUUAUCGAUUGACAGGAAGUCAAAAAAUCUUAAUAGAAAUUUGUUUAACUAUAAAUUGUAUAUUUGAAAUAAUAAACUAUUUAUAUAUUACUUUUUUCCCGCAUUUUAACACUUAUGCUGUUUUAAAUAUACAUUUAUUUCAAUUAUUUUAAAUGUUUAGUUAUUGGUUUUGGUAAGAUAAUUGUGUUGUUACUUUUAUGUGUUUACCUUGAGGAUAAUAAACCGCCCAAAUUCUGGUCCAAGUAAAAAAUAA